rnacentral:rRNA from 1 species
GAACGCUGGCGGCACGCUUAACACAUGCAAGUCGAACGGGAUCUUCGGAUCUAGUGGCAGACGGGUGAGUAACGCGUGGGAACCUGCCCAGUAGUAGAGAAUAACUUGAGGAAACUUAAGCUAAUACUUUAUACACCCUUCGGGGAAAAGCUUUAUGCGCUAUUGGAUGGGCCCGCGUUAGAUUAGCUUGUUGGUGAGGUAAUGGCUCACCAAGACUACGAUCUAUAGCUGGUCUGAGAGGAUGAUCAGCCACACUGGGACUGAGACACGGCCCAGACUCCUACGGGAGGCAGCAGUGGAGAAU